rnacentral:rRNA from 1 species
UACGUAGGGGGCUAGCGUUGUCCGGAAUCAUUGGGCGUAAAGAGCGUGUAGGCGGCCCGGUAAGUCCGCUGUGAAAGUCGGGGGCUCAACCCUCGAAUGCCGGUGGAUACUGUCGGGCUAGAGUGCGGAAGAGGCGAGUGGAAUUCCUGGUGUAGCGGUGAAAUGCGCAGAUAUCAGGAGGAACACCGGGUGGCGAAGGCGCCACUCUGGGCCGAAACUGACGCUGAGGAGCGAAAGCGUGGGUAGCAAACAGG